rnacentral:rRNA from 1 species
UACGUAGGGGGCAAGCGUUGUCCGGAAUCAUUGGGCGUAAAGAGCGUGUAGGCGGCCUGAUAAGUCCGCUGUGAAAGUCCAGGGCUCAACCCUGGAAUGCCGGUGGAAACUGUCAGGCUCGAGUCCGGAAGAGGCGAGUGGAAUUCCUGGUGUAGCGGUGAGAUGCGCAGAUAUCAGGAGGAACACCAAUGGCGAAGGCAGCUCGCUGGGACGGUACUGACGCUGAGACGCGAAAGCGUGGGGAGCAAACAGG